AUCCAUGACAACAUCCAAGUAGAAAUGGGUUGGCCAUCUAUUAGGCAUACCAGUGACUAGUCCUGCUCUGGCCAAGAAUUUGGGCCAGAUGACUACUAAGAUCCUUUGCAGUAUCCAGAUUCUAAGAUUCUGUUUUCCUGGGAAGGUGUAAACUGCUUUAUCUUCAGGUUAGCUCUUAACUCAUGAGCUGGGACAAUACUCUUUCCCCUAAGAAAGCGCUGAGAUGCCAAGAAUCUGGAGCUGCAAUGGGAACUUGAAACGAGAGGCUGAAAACAGGCCGGGCAUGGUGGUUCAUGCCUGUAAUCCCAGCACUUUGGGAGGCUGAGGCAGGCGGAUCACCUGAGGGAGAAGAGGAGGCCUGGAGUGAGGCCUGGAGUCAGCCCUGGAGUCCAGGAAAGGCCCCGCGGCAGAGAUGGCAGUUUUUGAGGGGUCUCUCAGAAGCUCCUCUUUUAGAGAAGAAGGAGGUCACACAUGAAUUUCUCUGGGUUCUGGAAUCCACAGUGCCAGAGGGGACCUCUCACUGGAGACGCCUCUCCCUUGCAUUUACAUUCUUGAGGUUUCAACCUAGCAGUCAGCUUCUCCGUUCCCUAAGGCGACUCUGCUCACCUGCCCUUUCCUUGUGUUUCCAAGGGUUUCCUCCAAUCCUUGGUGGGCAACGGCAGUGCAGGCCAGCAGCCCAGGGGCAUCACUGUGGGGGUGGCUGGAGUUUUGCUGAUGUUUUCUGAAUUCCACACUGUGCCUGGAGUGAGGAGAAUCCUAUGGAACAUAGGCUUGGCCUGGGUGUGCAUGGUUAAUCCAUGCAUGGUUAAUCCACGUCCAGGGGUGUAAGGACACACUUCCAGGCCACUGAAGGAGACCACUCUGUUGUUGAGUCGGGCCCCUAUGGCCAUAACUAAGCAGAACGAGCAGUUGGGAACAGAGUGAGAAACAUGUUGAGUGUCACAGGUUGGGUGGAAGCUGCCACUGCAAUGCUGGUUUCACCUUGCGCUGUACCCUGCACCAUGCUUCUCGGCACGAGUCCUCUCUUCCUGCAGACAGUGGGUAUUGAGAGGCUCCCUGCUUUUCUUGGCUUCCUCCCCGGCACCCAGCCUACAUCGUGCCUAGCGCUGAAGGAGAGCACAGUCAACACUUGCCAAGAGAACAGAAGGUGUUUGUCAGACACAACUCCUCAAGAAAUCCUCACCUUGCUGGAAGAUGACAGCGAGAGUUGCCGUGGGAACCCAGCAGGCAUUCCCUCUGCUCUGCUCUCCAGUGACCCCUUUACAAACCCCAUAAGAACCCCGUCAUGUCGGGUGCUGCGCAGGAACCUGCCACCUCUCAGGAAAUCCAGAAGCAAGGAUCAGGUUUGAGGACAGGGCUGCUGUCCACCUUAGCUGACCUUUGCUCCUGCCAACCAUCUGGUGCUCCAGGUGAACUCUGAUACUGAUCCUUCCAGAAAGGUAGAGGGGCCUAGACACAGGUUAUCCGUAUCAUGGGGCUGGAGUGAGGAGGGAUUCAAGGGUCCAUGAGGACCCUCUUUCAGAGACCAAGGCCUCUUCCCCGCCACCACCCGUGUGUCCAGCCUCCUGCAGUCUCUCCUCUGGCACACGUUCCCUCUGCUGGAAAUGCCCCACGCACAUUCUGACAAGUCUUAAUGGCCCUUUAGACCCAGCCCAGACAUGCUGGUUGAGGUUCACCUGGUACCGCCAGGCCUGCAACACCCAAGGGACAGGGUUUGAUAUGGGCAACAGACACAACUCGCAUAUCACAGACUGUGCUGAGAGCCUCAGAGGCAGAGCACGCACACACAGCCCCUGGCAUGGACCAAAUACUUAAUCCACAUGUAAAAAAAAAAUGGAAGGAAGAGAAGGAAGGAAGGGAGGGAGGGCAGAAGACAGGGAGGGAGGGAGGGAGGACAGUUUCAAAAUAGCUUAGAACUUGGAAGGGAAAGAGAGGGGCAUUAUUUAUGGGCCUCGUAAAACUGACCACCACCCCACAAGGAUCUCCAGUGGAAUAUCUCACAACAGGUCAUGAAGUGAGAUGGUUCAAUUCCAGAACUAUUUCAUGAGCAUCUGCCAUGUGCAAGGAACCGCAUGUAUCCCUAUUCCUGAGGGAAGUGGGUGAGGUAGGCGAGCUGCACUGUAGUCUCAGAAGAGCUGCUUCCCUCAGACCUUAGGCUCUUCCCUCUUUGUGAGUCUCCUCCUGCAUGACCUAAGAAUCUCCACCAAAUGGUCCACAAACAGCCAGGAAGCACCAGAGGAUGUCCUGGCCUUGGAGUCAGAAGACCUGGGUUUGAGCCCUGGACCAACCAUUGCUGAUGGAGAGGUAACCGUUCCCAGCACGCCAGUGUCUAGGAAGACCCCUCAGCUCCUCAGGAACAUUCCAUAAACCAUUCUCUGACACACCCCAUCGAGUCCUCUAACUCACUGACCCCCUCCUUUCACUUCUUCUCGAGGUCCCUCAAGUCUCCACUUCCUUCCUCAUCCUCUUGAGAUGUUGCGAUCACUUCCACCCAAAGAUUUCCAGCCCUAAUUCCUGGAACCUGGAAAUGUGACCUUCGAAGGGAAAAGGGCCUUUGCAGAUAUAAUUAAGUGAAGGAUCUUGACACGAGGAGACCAUGCUGGAUUAUCCAGUGAGCCCUAAACCCAGUCCCAAGUGGCCUCCUAAGAGAGCGCAGAGGGAGAUUUCACACACACAGAAGAAGGGGAGGUCACGUGCAGGCAGAGACGGAAGUAAGUUGGCCACAAGCCAAGAAGUGCUGCAGCCUUGGAAGCCCCAGAAGCUGGAAGAGACAGGAACAACCCUCCCAGAGCCUUUGAAGGGAGCAUGGCCCUGCUGAUACCUUGAUUUCAGCCCAGAGAAACUGAUUUGGGACUCUGGCCUCCAGAACAGUGACACGCCACAUAUCUGCUGCAUCUACACGGACUCUGCCGUCCUUCCUAACAUGACAGAUGAUGGCCCAACUCCUCUCCAGUCCUUCCAUCAAACAGAAUCUCCCUGCAAGAGUGUCCCAGCCACAGGACAUCCUUGGAGGAAGCUGGGUAGCCUGAAGAGCCACAUCACAUCUGGAAACAUGUUGUGUUGUCUUCUGGUUUGAGUAAUGCUGCACCUCAUCCUAAUCUUUGCUAUCAUGUACGUUAUAGCCUCAAAUUUUCUCUGCAGGGAACUUUCCACCAAGAACACCAUUGUGUAGAGGCACCUACCGUGCCAGGCACUGUUGGAGGCACUGGGGAUGAAUCAGCAAGCAAGACAGAAGGUCCCUGCACUCACAGAACUUACUGCUCAGGUGGAUAAGAUGAAAUACAACAACAUUAAUUUG